AUGACAGGAGUGCAUUAUUUUCCAUGUGGAGAUUCAGUGUACUGCGACAGCGGGUGGAAUUUUCUUGUCGACCAUAUUAGUCUAGUCAAAGAUUACUCUGUAUGGUCUGUAUCCCCUCAGGCCUUUGGAAGUGAGAAGCUUCUGCAGAGAAAAGUACUCCAUCGAUUUGGAAAAUACGAGUCCAUUUUUGGAGCGACGCCGGUGGACUGGAGGCAGUGCAUCCUAUUCAACAUUGAUAUAAACUUAACUUCCGCAAAGAGGUGCAGAAUCUUGGAAGAGGAAGAUGGCAAAAAUUUAGUUGCUCAAAAACUCUCCUAG
rnacentral:rRNA from 1 species